GAUGAACGCUGGCGGCGUGCCUAAUACAUGCAAGUCGAGCGAAUGGAUUAAGAGCUUGCUCUUAUGAAGUUAGCGGCGGACGGGUGGGUAACACGUGGGUAACCUGCCCAUAAGACUGGGAUAACUCCGGGAAACCGGGGCUAAUACCGGAUAACAUUUUGAACCGCAUGGUUCUAAAUUGAAAGGCGGCUUCGGCUGUCACUUAUGGAUGGACCCGCGUCGCAUUAGCUAGUUGGUGAGGUAACGGCUCACCAAGGCAACGAUGCGUAGCCGACCUGAGAGGGUGUUCGGCCACACUGGGACUGAGACACGGCCCAGACUCCUACGGGAGGUAGCAGUAGGGAAUCUUCCGCAAUGGACGAAAGUCUGACGGAGCAACGCCGCGUGAGUGAUGAAGGCUUUCGGGUCGUAAAACUCUGUUGUUAGGGAAGAACAAGUGCUAGUUGAAUAAGCUGGCACCUUGACGGUACCUAACCAGAAAGCCACGGCUAACUACGUGCCAGCCGCCGCGGUAA
rnacentral:rRNA from 1 species